rnacentral:rRNA from 1 species
UACAGAGGGUGCGAGCGUUGUCCGGAAUCAUUGGGCGUAAAGGGCGCGUAGGCGGUUGGAUAAGUCUUGUGUGAAAUCUUCGGGCUCAACUCGAAGUCUGCACGAGAAACUAUCUGGCUUGAGUGUGGGAGAGGUGAGUGGAAUUCCUGGUGUAGAGGUGAAAUUCGUAGAUAUUGGGAAGAACACCGGUGGCGAAGGCGGCUCACUGGCCCGUAACUGACGCUCAUGCACGACAGCGUGGGGAUCAAACAGG